UUUUUUAAGGUAACCAAGCCGAACAACUGCAGCUUUUUAGUGUCCGAAAUUGCGAAAGCUAGAGAGCACAUACAAACCUCAUUGGAGAAGAUUGACGACAUGACGAUUGAUGCUUCUUCAAGUUUGGAAAUUUUAAGCAGAAUUGCAAUACUGGAAACUGAAAAUAAGGAAAUGAGGAAUCUUGUUUCGGGCUUUGCACAAUCAUAUCAUGAUAUUUUGCGGCGGCUUUCUUUUAUCGAAAACUG
rnacentral:misc_RNA from 1 species